CGCACAUUGCGCCCCUUGGUAUUCCAUGGGGCAUGCCUGUUCGAGCGUCAUUUGUACCCUCAAGCUCUGCUUGGUGUUGGGUGUUUGUUCCGCCGAGCGCGUGAACUCGCCUCAAAUGCAUUGGCAGCCGGCAAUCUGGUGUUUGAGCGCAGCACAAUUUGCGCUCUCCGCUGGUUGCGGCGUCCACAAAGCCCAUUUUUUAUGCGCUUGACCUCGGAUCAGGUAGGGAUACCCGCUGAACUUAA
rnacentral:misc_RNA from 1 species